rnacentral:rRNA from 1 species
CCUACGGGAGGCAGCAGUGGGGAAUAUUGCACAAUGGGGGAAACCCUGAUGCAGCGACGCCGCGUGAGCGAAGAAGUAUUUCGGUAUGUAAAGCUCUAUCAGCAGGGAAGAAAAAUGACGGUACCUGAGUAAGAAGCACCGGCUAAAUACGUGCCAGCAGCCGCGGUAAUACGUAUGGUGCAAGCGUUAUCCGGAUUUACUGGGUGUAAAGGGAGCGUAGACGGCGAUGCAAGUCUGAAGUGAAAGGCGGGGGCCCAACCCCUGGACUGCUUUGGAAACUGUAUGGCUGGAGUGCAGGAGAGGUA